AGACUCUCAGAGAGGAUGGCCCUGCCAUCUCCACGUCUACGUAGGGGCAACAGUCACUAGUGUGUCCUCUUCAGGCGCAGAAACGGACACUCGAAGGAAAGCUCUGGAAGAUUCCUUUUUCUCUUUUAAACUCUGCCAUGUGUCGCUGCAGGCCAUGUCCACGUGGAAAUCGAGGCUCACCAAAAGCCUGAAGCUCCCAUCUCGGAGGAUGCAUUCCUUCCCAUGCUCAGCUCUGCUGGCCUGUUUCGGGACCACCAGGGAAAAUGCUGCCUUUGAUCAGUCCAGCUCGGCGGAUACUCACUCCGCCAUCUAUGUCCAGCCCACGGCCAAAGCAGGCAGACAUCCAAGUCACCCAAAGGUAGAAGAAGGAGCUCCAGAGAAAAGGCAAGAUUCUGGUAUGCGCUUGGAGCAAAACGGCACUGGGAAUGGCAGUAACAGCAAACAUUCCGCUGUCCAGCCUGCAGAGACCCCCGAGGAUUUGCCCAGGUCCCUGAAGGACGAACCAGACCACGAAGCCGUUCCUUUCCAGACGUCCAUCCCGAGACCAUCAAUUAUUGACAUGCCAAAGGAAGAAGAAUCCCAUCAAGAGCCCCAGGGUCCUGAGCUGGAGCAGAAGACGCUAUCAG
rnacentral:lncRNA from 1 species